rnacentral:rRNA from 1 species
UGGCUCACCAAGGCAAUGACACCUAACUGGUUUGAGAGGAUGAUCAGUCACACUGGAACUGAGACACGGUCCAGACUCCUACGGGAGGCAGCAGUGGGGAAUAUUGCACAAUGGACGAAAGUCUGAUGCAGCAACGCCGCGUGGAGGAUGACACAUCGGUGCGUAAACUCCUUUUAUAUAGGAAGAUAAUGACGGUACUAUAUGAAUAAGCACCGGCUAACUCCGUGCCAGCAGCCGCGGUAAUACGGAGGGUGCAAGCGUUACUCGGAAUUACUGGGCGUAAAGAGCGUGUAGGCGGGUAAAUAAGUUGGAAGUGAAAUCCUAUGGCUCAACCAUAGAACUGCUUCCAAAACUGUUAACCUAGAAUGUGGGAGAGGUAGAUGGAAUUUCUGGUGUAGGGGUAAAAUCCGUAGAUAUCAGAAGGAAUACCGAUUGCGAAGGCGAUCUACUGGAACACUAUUGACGCUGAGACGCGAAAGCGUGGGGAGCAAACAGGAUUAGAUACCCUGGUAGUCCACGCCCUAAACGAUGUACACUAGUUGUUGUGAGGCUAGACCUCGCAGUAAUGCAGUUAACACAUUAAGUGUACCGCCUGGGGAGUACGGUCGCAAGAUUAAAACUCAAAGGAAUAGACGGGGACCCGCACAAGCGGUGGAGCAUGUGGUUUAAUUCGACUAUACGCGAAGAACCUUACCUGGUCUUGACAUAGAAAGAACUUUCCAGAGAUGGAUUGGUGCCUGCUUGCAGGAGCUUUCAUACAGGUGCUGCACGGCUGUCGUCAGCUCGUGUCGUGAGAUGUUGGGUUAAGUCCCGCAACGAGCGCAACCCUCGUCGUUAGUUGCUAACAGUUCGGCUGAGAACUCUAACGAGACUGCCUACGCAAGUAGGAGGAAGGUGAGGACGACGUCAAGUCAUCAUGGCCCUUACGACCAGGGCUACACACGUGCUACAAUGGGGUAUACAAAGAGCAGCGAUACGGUGACGUGGAGCGAAUCUCAAAAAUGCCUCCCAGUUCGGAUAGUAGUCUGCAACUCGACUACUUGAAGUUGGAAUCGCUAGUAAUCGUAGAUCAGCUAUGCUACGGUGAAUACGUUCCCGGGUCUUGUACUCACCGCCCGUCACACCAUGGGAGUUGAAUUCAUUCGAAGCGGGGAUGCUAAAAUAGCUACCUUCCACAGUGGAUUUAGCGGCUGGGGUGAAGUCGAACAAGGUAACCGUAGGAACCUGCGGUUG